CUUGGUCCCUGGGCGGCCGCCGGCGGCAUCUGCCGCGGGAGGAAAGUCCGGGCUCCCCAGGGCAGGGUGGUGGGCAACGCCCACCGUUCGCAAGAACAGGGACAGUGCCACAGAGAACAGACCGCCGGACGGCCGGGCAACCGGCGACGGCAAGGGUGAAACGGUGAGGUAAGAGCUCACCGCGCUGCGGGCGACCGCGGCGGCACGGCAAACCCCACCCGGAGGAAGACCGA
rnacentral:RNase_P_RNA from 1 species